AAGUGGAAGAGGAGGAGGAAAAGGAAGCGGUACGGUAACAACAAGGACAAGAGGCCGAGCCAAGAAGAGAAGCAGACAGACCCCUGUGAGAAAAUCAGCCAGAGGGAAAAAGUGAGCACAGACGAGAGAAGGAAGCAGCUGAUGUUCCGCCUCCCACUUCAUCAUCUCAUUUAUUCCAAGUGUUGCGGUAAACAGAGGAGUGAGCUCGUCGGACCAGAACCAAAGAGAUCUCGUUCUCAGUCUCCUUGUGUCGGCGCUUACUUCAAAAUGCCGACAUUCAAACCCAACAACC